rfam:Myotis davidii contig196854, whole genome shotgun sequence.
GGUGGUUCUUGGGUGACACACCCUGGAAUCUGGCUCCCUCCUCUCUGGUUCUGGGUGCAUCACCUGAGAACCGCA